rnacentral:pre_miRNA from 9 species
UCUCGAUAGCGUUAAAGUUAGUCUAAUUUGUAUGGAGUUGGAACGUUUGCGUACGUUUGCCGCUAGUGGCGCUGUUUCAACUGCAUACAAAUUUGAAUUAACUUCAACGUUAGCGA